AGAGUUUGAUCAUGGCUCAGAACGAACGCUGGCGGCAGGCUUAACACAUGCAAGUCGAACGAGAAGGUACUUUCGGGUACUGGACAGUGGCGCACGGGUGAGUAACGCGUGGGAAUCUACCAUGGAGUGGGGGAUAACAGUUGGAAACGACUGCUAAUACCGCAUACGCCCUACGGGGGAAAGAUUUAUUGCUCUAUGAUGAGCCCGCGUUAGAUUAGGUAGUUGGUGGGGUAAUGGCCUACCAAGCCUACGAUCUAUAGCUGGUCUGAGAGGAUGAUC
rnacentral:rRNA from 1 species